rnacentral:rRNA from 1 species
UACGGAGGGUGCGAGCGUUGUCCGGAUUUAUUGGGUUUAAAGGGUGCGUAGGUGGCUAUUUAAGUCAGUGGUGAAAUACAGCCGCUCAACGGUUGAGGUGCCAUUGAUACUGAAUAGCUUGAAAGAAUUGGAGGCUGCCGGAAUGGAUGGUGUAGCGGUGAAAUGCAUAGAUAUCAUCCAGAACACCGAUUGCGAAGGCAGGUGGCUACGAUUUAUUUGACACUGGAGGCACGAAAGCAUGGGGAGCAAACAGG